rnacentral:rRNA from 1 species
AGCUCCAAUAGCGUAUACUAAUUUGUUGCAGUUAAAAGCUCGUAGUUGGAUUUCUUUCUCUUGUCGCCGGAGGCCUUCUUCUAGAGGGUUUUCCUGCAACUGGGGAAACAUUUGUCGCAAACCAUCCGAAUACUGUUAUGGUGUUCGGUUGUUAAGCGACUCGUUUACUUUGAGAAAAUUAGAGUGUUCAAAGCAGGCUUUCCGCCUUGAAUAUGUUAGCAUGGAAUAAUAACAUAGGACUUUAGUUCUAUUUGUUGGUUGUUCGAGAACUGGAGUAAUGAUUGAUAGGGACGGUUGGGGGCAUCUGUAUUCUCAAGCGAGAGGUGAAAUUCUUGGACCUUGGGAAGACAAACAGCUGCGAAAGCGUUUGCCUAGGACGUUCUCUUU